UGUGAUCUCCACCUGGCUAUUCAAACGACUACUUUGGAAUUCCUUUUAGGAAUUCCUCAAUCCUUUUAGGGCUGUACUACGGUUACUGUUGUCUAGUCACUAAAUCAUGUCUGACUCUUUUGUGACCCUAUGGACUGUGGCCCGCCAGGAUCCUCUGUCCAUGGGAUUUUACAGGCAAGAAUACUGGACUUAGUUGCCAUUUCUUCUCCAGGUGACCUUCCCACCCCAGGGAUCAAACCCUCAUCACCUGUGUCUCUUGCACUGGCAGGUGGAUCUUUACCAUUGAGCCACCUGGGAAGCCCAGUCCUGCUAACAGGUUGCCUUAGCUCCUUGAUGGCCUCCUCCACAAGCGCCCCUGGACACUUCUUGGGAACUGCAAGGCUCCAGGCUAAACCACACGGACCUCUGGCUACUCUAUGAUCAUAUCACCCCACGGCCUUUGCCUCUCCACUCUGCCUGGAACAUUUUUUUCACUGCUCUAUUCAUGGCUGGGUUUGAGACCAAAUUCAGCUACCAACAACUUAGUUAUAUUUGAAUGACCCAUUUCUCAAUCACGUGACUCUCUCUGACUAUUGUCCUGCAAAUGGGGUUUUAAGCACAGACCCCUUGAGAUGGAAGCCUCUGACUGAAAAACCUGAAGAUGGAAAUGAGCCAUGUGCCUACCUGAGGAGGACAUUCUGGGCAGAGAGAAAGGCCACUGCAAAGUGGUUCUGCCUGGUGUGUGGUGAAGUGAAGCAGAGGAAAAGGAAAACUGAAGAAAAGUUCAAGAGCCCAAAUCUGACAAUUCAAGGAGGGGGAAAAAAAAAAAAUCAGUUGCUGGUUAAGGAUAACCUGGAAUAUGGCUAAAAAUUGUGAAGAGGCCAAAACACUCAACUUAAGUCAGCAGCUCUGGGUGAAGCCUGGACUAGGCACAUGUGGACUGUGUGAUCUGGGAGGGGCGAUGGGUCAGACAAGCUGGUGGCAGAAGGGCCUGCCGAACAAAAACAAAAAAUGGGAACUCAUAAUGGGGAGAAAGAGCCUGAGGGCCAGAACUCCAGGACUUCAGGAGCUUGGCACCUAGAAGCCCCCACGGAGGUUAGAGAGCAUUACAUUGUAAUUAAUGAUGGUGGCAGAGGGAUUCAAGGAACUCAUUUCAUGAUCUAAAUAUAAGAAAUGAAGCUUGCUCCAUCUGACUGGAUGGUGACUAUCAGACAUGCCAUCUCUCAUCUCUAAGGAGGAUGAGAAAAAAAAAAAAUAAGGAGGAUAAAAUGGCAAAGAUGGGAUAACCAAGUGGAGCUGGACCAUUUUCAAGGUGUAGCUUCAGCAAGGCUUCAUGACAGAUGACUUUAAGGAACAAGUACCACACUGAGGUUACAACAAGGGGAUCCCUGAGGAGUCACCCCAGAACCACAGAGAACUGCGGGGUUCUGAAGAGUUUCAAAGGAUGCUAGUUGUAUUCCAUGUACAAAUAAAGAAAAUGAGGUCGGGAGAGGGAAAGCAACUGACCUAAGAUCACACAGAGAAGUGCGAGGGAAGCUGGGUAUCCUUUUCUACUACCUGAUUCCAUGUCUCUCGGCACCUUGCCUGCAGCGGAUACAAACAUGAUCCGGUGAAGAAAUCUCCCUGAAGACUGAAGAACUCAUUUAACCUUGUGGACAUAAAUCUAAUCCUGACGCUGCCCAGCUCAGAAUCCUCCAGUGGCUUCUCAUUUCAUUUACAGUAAAAUCCAAGCUUCACAGCCAUGAGGCCCUCCAGGAUCUAACUCUGCAGCCCAACUUCUCUCCACCCUCUCCCUUGUUGACCAUCACCUUCUUCCUCACCUUUCUGUGAUUUUUUCCUUCCUGUGUUUACUUAUUUACUGUUGGUCUCUUCUCAAGAGUUGGAUAAUUCCACAAGAGAAAAAUACCGCAUCUUUUUUGGGUACCCUGUACAUCCAGCAACUAAAACACUGCCCAGAACAGAGCAGAUGCCCAACCACUGUGAAAAGAGAAUGAAGGAACAAACACAGCAGCUGGUGUAUUUUAAAUAACCAAUAAAUCCUAGAUUUCUUCAUGGCCGUGUCACCAUCAAUCGUGAGAUGAAUCAUUACUUCAAAAGUCAUUAAUAAAGGCAACAAGUUGCUAAUUAAUGGUCAUAGCUA
rnacentral:lncRNA from 1 species